UGGGGAAUACUGCACAAUGGGCGCAAGCCUGAUGCAGCAACGCCGCGUGAGGGACGACGGCCUUCGGGUUGUAAACCUCUUUUAGUAGGGAAGAAGCGAAAGUGACGGUACCUGCAGAAAAAGCACCGGCUAACUACGUGCCAGCAGCCGCGGUAAUACGUAGGGUGCGAGCGUUGUCCGGAAUUAUUGGGCGUAAAGAGCUCGUAGGCGGUCUGUCGCGUCUGCUGUGAAAACCCGAGGCUCAACCUCGGGCCUGCAGUGGGUACGGGCAGACUAGAGUGCGGUAGGGGAGAAUGGAAUUCCUGGUGUAGCGGUGGAAUGCGCAGAUAUCAGGAGGAACACCGAUGGCGAAGGCAGUUCUCUGGGCCGUAACUGACGCUGAGGAGCGAAAGCGUGGGGAGCGAACAGGAUUAGAUACCCUGGUAGUCCACGCCGUAAACGUUGGGCGCUAGAUGUGGGGACCAUUCCACGGUUUCCGUGUCGCAGCUAACGCAUUAAGCGCCCCGCCUGGGGAGUACGGCCGCAAGGCU
rnacentral:rRNA from 1 species